CCUACGGGUGGCAGCAGUGAGGAAUAUUGGUCAAUGGACGAGAGUCUGAACCAGCCAAGUAGCGUGAAGGAUGACUGCCCUAUGGGCUGUAAACUUCUUUUAUAAAGGAAUACAACGAGUCACGUGUGCCUUUUUGCAUGUACUUUAUGAAUAAAGAUCGGCUAACUCCGUGCCAGCAGCCGCGGUACUACGGAGGAUCCGAGCGUGAUCCGGAUUUAUUGGGUUUAAAGGGAGCGUAGACGGGUUGUUAAGUCAGUUGUGAAAGUUUGCGGCUCAACCGGAAAAUUGCAAUGGAUACUGGCAGUCUUGAGUACAGAUGAGGAAGGCGGAAUUCGUGGUGUAGCGGUGAAAUGCUUAGAUAUCACGAAGAACCCCGAUUGCGAAGGCAGCUUACUAAACUGUGACUGACAUUGAUGCUCGAAAGUGUGGGUAUCAAACAGGAUUAGAUACCCCAGUAGUC
rnacentral:rRNA from 1 species